rnacentral:misc_RNA from 1 species
GAUGAAGAACGCAGCGAAAUGCGAUACUUGGUGUGAAUUGCAGAAUCCCGUGAACCAUCGAGUCUUUGAACGCAAGUUGCGCCCGAAGCCAUUAGGCCGAGGGCACGCCUGCCUGGGCGUCACACGUCGUUGCCCCCCCAUCUACUCCUUCGGGAUUGCGGGGGGCGGAUGAUGGCCUCCCGUGCGCCUCGUCGCGCGGUUGGCAUAAAUACCAAGUCCUCGGCGACGCACGCCACGACAAUCGGUGGUUGCGAAACCUCGGUUGCCCGUCGUGUGCGGUCGUCGCGCAUCGAGGGCUCGGAAAAAUUGCCGGGCUCCGGCUCGGCUUUCAACGCGACCCCAGGUCAGGCGGGGUUACCCGCUGAAUUUAAGCAUAUCAAUAAGCGGAGGA